GAAUUACCACCUCAAAGGUAAAACUUGGCAACAAAACAUUUGUGUAGUUAUAAACUAUUGGUAUUUUAUUUGUUUGAUAAUGUGUCCUUUUGUUUACAAUUCCGUCUGCUUCUUUUUCAAUGAUCAGUCUUUUGCUCUCUUCAUCGCAUUUGCAGUAGCGUUCCCAGCUUUCUCGUUUGUGCUUCCGAAAGUCUUUGUUUGCAAUUUUGGCACAAAGCUCUCGCAUGGGCGGGUCUAACAGGGCUGCGUCCCCAUUGGCUAAUGAGUUUUUGUGUGCCCGCCUCCCCGCUCUGGCGUUUCAGUGCAUCUAACGUUAUAGACUUUGGAGGACACACAAACCACUCUAUACAGCGGAUUCCUACAAGGUUAAUAAAGUGUACUUCAAGCUUUACAAUACGAAGUCAAGGAAGUGAAGGACUACAGCCACAUUCCAGGCCCUCAGAGAACUGUCCUGCAGAAAAGGCUGUCGUCCGGACUGGAGCGGGGAGCCAUCAGUGAGCUCAGGAGACGAGAGGAUUCCAGGUGUCUACGAGUUGUGUGUGAUAUUCCCGCACAACCCUCAGAAGUGUUGUUUCAGACACAAGUCAUCAGAGAAAUGCAGCUUGUCCUAGGUGAAUCUGAAUAUGUGAGAUUUAUACAUAACCCAGUUACUCAGUAUGUUUGUGUAUUGUUAGUACUGAUGA